UCAUAGGAUUGGCUUUGGCUUUGAGAAAGCUGUGACUAGGAGACCCCAAAUGAGGAUGUCUUGCCAGCUCUUCAUAUUUUGACGGGCUUUCCCAGCUCUGCCCUUCAGCUGGUCGGAAACCAUGGCCAUGGAAAGCCUCCUUUUUCGUUUGAUACAGACCCUCAAGCCAAACAGAUGGAGACUAUCACUCAAGUUCUUGGAAAUUCAGCAAGGAGUUCAGUGUCCUAAAAUGAGAAGAAGGAUGAAACAGAGAUCUGCCACCCACAGAACACUACAGGAGGUUUCUUCAUGAGGAAAGAUAGAGUUCUGCAUCUGCUCUGUAUUCAGCCCUGAGAUCCAGCUUCCGCAGCCCAAGGCAUGAUAAGGUACUGGUUUAUGGAAAAUAAAUACUCACGAAAGUAACGGUAUGGCAGACACCGUUUACCCCAAAGACACCAGACCUUGAAGGGAAACAUGGGAGUCAGUACUCUGUUACCUUCCAAAUAUUUCCCACCUGGGUUUAAAGCAAAGCACUCCAGAGAUGUUGGGUUGUUUGGCUCUGUGAGGGAAACUGUUUGGGCUUAAGACUUUGUGACUGACUGAGACUCAAGAAUCUGGGGCUGGGCUGCACCAAAUAGCCCUGGGCAGAGUGUUCUCUCCCUGGGCCACUGGAAGGUAAUUCAGCUCUUGUCUCCUAAGGGCAUUCGCUGCACUGAGCCCCUUGGAGGAUGACAACCAUAUUGUAUUCACCACAAUUCAAAUUUAAAUUAUCCUGCAUUAUGCUUCCUUGAAAUUCAAAGCCAAACUCAUCAGUGGCAAAGCCUGCAUUCUCUUAUCAGAAAAAUUCUUUUAGGAUCUAUUUAAUUCCUGUAAUUAUUUGGUUUGAAUCAUCUUCAACUCAGUUGUUUAUGAUAACCAUGCAGUCCAAAAUGACCUCCAAAAUCCUGGAGAAGCAUGGGGACCUGGGAAGCAUGGCAGUCUCUCCUCCCAAGAGCAAAGGAUCUUCCAGAUUGAGUCCCUUUUUGCCUUCUCCCUUCUUGGCCUUCAAGGCAGGAUUUCUACCAUGUCUUGGUAUUUUUGAUCACUGAGCUCUUCCUCUGCCAGCCAGCUCCAAAAUUCUUCAUUGAUGAGGAGCCAGAGAGCCCAGGCAGAAUACCAAUGCAUCUCUCUGUCCAGCAGGCAGCGCAUCUGUAUUUAUCAUGGUAGGAAUAAUAUCAGCAUUUGUUUAAGCAUUUUUUAUGGCCCGGAGGGGGGAAAAAUAUCUAUCAAAUUCAGUAAAUGUGUUUUACGUUGCAGCACUUUGAGAUCCAACCAUAUCAUCUGUAAUGAAAACAGA